rnacentral:rRNA from 1 species
GCCYAGGAAUCUGCCUGGUAGUGGGGGAUAACGUUCGGAAACGAACGCUAAUACCGCAACGUCCUACGGGAGAAAGCAGGGGACCUUCGGGCCUUGCGCUAUCAGAUGAGCCUAGGUCGGAUUAGCUAGUUGGUGAGGUAAUGGCUCACCAAGGCRACRAUCCGUAACUGGUCUGAGAGGAUGAUCAGUCACACUGGAACUGARACACGGUCCAGACUCCUACGGGAGGCAGCAGUGGGGAAUAUUGGACAAUGGGCGAAAGCCUGAUCCAGCCAUGCCGCGUGUGUGAARAAGGUCUUCGGAUUGUAAAGCACUUUAAGUUGGGAGGAAGGGCAGUUACCUAAUACGUGAUUGUUUUGACGUUACCGACARAAUAAGCACCGGCUAACUCUGUGCCASCAGCCGCGGUAAUACAGAGGGUGCAAGCGUUAAUCGGAAUUACUGGGCGUAAAGCGCGCGUAGGUGGUUUGUUAAGUUGGAUGUGAAAUCCCCGGGCUCAACCUGGGAACUGCAUUCAAAACUGACUGACUAGAGUAUGGUAGAGGGUGGUGGAAUUUCCUGUGUAGCGGUGAAAUGCGUAUAUAUAGGAAGGAACACCAGUGGCGAAGGCGACCACCUGGACKAAUACUGACACUGAGGUGCAAGAGCGUGGGGAGCAAACAAGAUUASAUACCCUGGUAGUCCACGCCGUAUACAAYGUCAACUAGCCGUUGUAAGCCUUGAGCUUUUAUUGUCGCAGCUAA